CCUACGGGUGGCAGCAGUGAGGAAUAUUGGUCAAUGGACGAGAGUCUGAACCAGCCAAGUAGCGUGAAGGAUGACUGCCCUAUGGGUUGUAAACUUCUUUUAUAUGGGAAUAAAACGUUCCACGUGUGGGAUUUUGUAUGUACCAUAUGAAUAAGGAUCGGCUAACUCCGUGCCAGCAGCCGCGGUAAUACGGAGGUUCCGAGCGUUAUCCGGAUUUAUUGGGUUUAAAGGGUGCGUAGGUGGAUUGUUAAGUCAGUUGUGAAAGUUUGCGGCUCAACCGUAAAAUUGCAGUUGAAACUGGCAGUCUUGAGUACAGUAGAGGUGAGCGGAAUUCGUGGUGUAGCGGUGAAAUGCUUAGAUAUCACGAAGAACUCCGAUUGCGAAGGCAGUUCACUGGACUGCAACUGACACUGAGGCUCGAAAGUGUGGGUAUCAAACAGGAUUAGAUACCCUUGUAGUC
rnacentral:rRNA from 1 species